rnacentral:rRNA from 12 species
UCGCCGAAAGUCCAAGGGUUCCUGCUUAAAGCUAAUCUGAGCAGGGUAAGCCGACCCCUAAGGCGAGGCCGAAAGGCGUAGUCGAUGGGAACCAGGUUAAUAUUCCUGGGCCAGGAGGAUGUGACGGAUCGAGACUGUUGUUCACCCUUAUCGGAUUGGGUGGGCCGCUAAUCGGUUCCUGGAAAUAGCCCUCCAUGAGAUCGUACCCUAAACCGACACAGGUGGACUGGUAGAGAAUACCAAGGCGCUUGAGAGAACUAUGUUGAAGGAACUCGGCAAAAUACCUCCGUAAGUUCGCGAGAAGGAGGCCCAGUUUCUAGGCAACUAGAGGCUGGGGGCACAAACCAGGGGGUGGCGACUGUUUAUUAAAAACACAGGGCUCUGCGAAGUCGUAAGACGACGUAUAGGGUCUGACGCCUGCCCGGUGCCUGAAGGUUAAAAGGAGGGGUGAGAGCUCUGAAUUGAAGCCCAGGUAAACGGCGGCCGUAACAAUAACGGUCCUAAGGUA